UCUCCUCAAAAUAUUGAAUAAUUCAUUAUUUUAUUCAAAAGCAGUUACAAUCAAAACCUGAAAGAAUGGAAAUGCAUCAUGAGUUUGGUAUUGAAAAGUCCAGUGCUUUAUGACCUUGUGAGCCAGAUACGAGCUUCUGAAAGACCAAAUCCAUCACCUGCCUGUGACGGUCUCAGCCAUUAGGUGCAUAAAUAAUGACAUGAUUACACAUGGGACUUUUCUACAUGAAAGUUGUGAUUUUUAUUUCCUUAGAGCACCGCAGAGUUCACUGCACGGCACAAAGGCAGCGGGGAUUCCGCGGCAGCGAGAUAUGAAAAACAGCGGGCAUAAAGUAAUCUCUUCUAAUUCUCCUGAGCCCCGUGAUGACAUGCGGGAGCACAGAGUACCUGCCAGAGGGGUAUAGAGGCUUUGUCAGCCCUCAAAAGGGACGAGGGCAUGUAACACUCAGUGACCCCUCUGACUCAAAUUCGCACUGAGAACAGCUUUAUAACAAACCGCACCGAUAGCUGAUACGGAAGCUGCACACAGCCACACACAAAUGCUUUUAUUGCUUGGUUUGAUGCCUGUGGUCCAGUGUUCAGGCACAGAGCAGCUAAAUGUGGGUUAUUUACGUGCAGCAUUUACAUCUGUUGGCUUUUAUUAGCGAAGGUCCUUUAUCAGAAACUCCUGCAAAUUCUCCCUGACUUUGCUGCUUGUUCAGCUAGAGCAUCACACGAAUCGGCACCGGGUUUUCUCAGCGACAAACACAAAUCGCGAUGCUUCGACCGACAUCACGACAUACACCAGAAACACCCACAGCCACGGAAAGCAGCGGAUGGCCACAAGCCCUGCUCGGGCUGCUCUCGUUGGGCUACCGACCCCACACCGGGGUAGCCCCGUGGCUCCGGCCAGGCCGCUGGCAGCCGGGCGAUGAGGAGCGCUUUAGCCGGGGAUGAGCCGGCGUGGAUAUUAAAGGCAAGGCAAUCCUCUUAGAGAUGGGGCCAGCAGGUGCGCCCACCCUGCGCCCACCCGAGCUGCGAGCAAACGGGGGGCGGCUGGGCCAGGCCUGAGGUGGCAUCGCCCCCGGGUAAAGCCGGGUAAAGCCGUGCCAAGCCGGGCCGAGCCGAGCCGAGCCGAGUCGGGCUGGCCCCUCACGACGCCCGACCCGGGUUUCACUGUGACCGCAGGGAAGCAAGCUCCAUCUCAUGUCAGGAGACCUACAGGGAGUCAUGCCGCGGUGUGAGCUGCUGCAAAGCCAUUCCCAAACACUGCUGGAGCAGCCCUGUCGAGGCAGGUGCCCAUCAUGGAAUGAGAAAGCACCUGCAGAAGGACUUCAACAUGAGUUUUUGUCUGUCUGUACGUGUAAAAACACUUCUGAACAUCUGAAUCAGUUACUGACAAGUCCAUCAGGUCCUUCCAGAAACUCAGAUAAAUGUGAGGGAUACCUUCCAUCUCCAUAAUCCAUGCUCACUUUUCCCCAGUAUGUGAUAUAAAAUAGAAUUUGAACCUUGGUAUCAAGGUGUCUUAUCAAUACCUUCUUCUCAGCAAACCCUCAAACAAAAGCCUGGACUACAGAGAUCACUUUCAAACAGCACUUCUACGAUACACAAAAUUCCAGAUGGGGACUCUUAAUAGCUGGUGAUGGACCCUGCAAAGUGCUUCAGUGAUGCUUGUGCUAGCAUGUGCGAAGAGCUCCUGUUCAACAGAUUCUGCAGAGUAAAAACACUAUUGCCAACUGCACCUUUCAGUGCUACUACUUUACUGUGUGCAAGGCGUGGUAUUAUAUAUGGACAGUUGCUCAUUUCUAAAAACAUUUCCCCUCAAUCUGAUU